GAGCACCCGGGGGCCUGCAGGGGUGCAGCCGCACGCGGAGGGUCACUGCUAGGGUCUGGGAAGCUGAGCUCAGUGCGGGCCCUGCCCAAAUGCGCCUGUGACCCCAGCAGCUUGCCCCCUUUUCCUGGCCUUGGCAUGCUUCCUCCAGGGGCUGCCCAGGCUGCCAGGCUCUGCCAAGCUGUGUGGAGCCCCUGGGCGUCCCCUCCAGGUGCCCUCAGCAGACGUGGAGCGGCUCUCCAGCCCAAGCCGGCCCUGCACUCGGGUCUCAGCGUCUAUCUCUGCUGUGGGCGACUGUCUUGGGUGGGGCCAGGCCACUCCAGAUAGAAGGUGCUGGUUGGGUGCGGGGGGCACUGGAAAUGCCCCACACCCCCUCCAGUCCCCGGCCUGGGCCUGGCAGGGCCCCAGUAACCGGCCUGGCUGGGGCUCUGGGGUCUGUGGCCAGAGCUCUGUCAGAAGAGCUGAGACAGCCACGGUCCAAGCAGCCCCACCAACCCCAAGCCAGCCUGGCGGAGGCCCAGGAGUCCUGAGGGAGGGUCUGCAGCCCCCUCCCCACUUCCUCUCCCCUGCACACUCCAGGCUGUCCUCUGCGAGGCUGUCACUCCAGGAGACACAGGCCUCCUGCCUCUCUUCUUCCCCCACCGCGCAGGGGCAGAGACGGGGGAGGGUCCUGCAGGGCCAGGAGAGAUGUUCAGUUUUCACUGUUCCUGGGCUGCAACCCCAGCUGGGUGGGUGCAACCUGGUGGGAUGGCCCGAGCCACCCCGGCUCUUGGGCGGCCUCCUGGGUGGCCCCUCGGCCUGCCCCUUGCGUGUGGCCACGGGCAGCCAGCUUUCCGGGCCCCAGUUCGUUGCACAAGUUCCUGGGUCAACAUAAACAACCGCGGUGCACCACAGAGUUCCUGGCCCGGCUUCCUCUCCACUCUCUGUGCGACCUCCUGACGGAUAAGGAAGUGAAAGAUGGCAGAUGCUUACGGAGCAGUGGGCGCCCACGGAGACGAGCCACGGCCACGCGGGGCUGCAGGGGGACGGCCAGGGUCCCAUCCACAUGGGACUUAGGUCUCAGUUCCAAGGGCAGAGGACAGGACAGAGACACUUACUGGAGGGCACCCGGCCUGGAGGCGUCGCCGCCUUCGGCUCCAACCAGCCCCAUGCCCUGCAAAGCCCCUGAGGGCCAGGCCCACCCAAUGCUGCUCGACUCCGUAGCCUGGCCCAGCGUGGUGGCACAGCUCACAGGAGGCACCGGCCUGUUCCCAGUGCACGGCCCCAGUGCUUCCCGCCGUCCUGUUCGGGAUUCGCAUCUCCCGUGUUGCCCUGCAGGUGCUGCGUGUUUGGACAGCUGGAAGCAGAGCUCGGCCUGUGACCUGCCUGGUCCAGCAAUUGGGCCUUUCUGGAGAGUCACAGCGACACACACAGCCACAUCCUGUAAACGAAGACCUCGUGUCUCAGAGGUCAGGUAACUUCCCCAAAGCUGGUCUGGCCUCCCAGCCCCAUCCCCAGUCCCAGAGGGGAGGUGGGAUGAAGGCAGGGCUAAGGCCAGGCUGUGUGGAGGCAGAGGCGCCUGCCGGCCUGCGGGACGGAGGGAGGAAGUGCCUGGGCCUGGGCAGACAAAGGCCCUCAGAUUCAUAAGCUGAAGCCCUAGCAGCCAGGGCCUCAGCAUGUCACUGUGUUUGAAGACAGGUAAAGGUCAUCAAGGUAAGACAGGGUGGCCCUGAUCCAAUAUGACUGACGUCCUUGUAAGAAGAGGAGAUUGGGACAGACACGCCUGGAGGGACGGCCACGUGAGGACGCCUCAGCGAAAUGGUGUGCAAGAGCGGGAAGUGGGGCCUCAGAGGAGCCAGCACUUGGAUCUCGGGCUUCCAGGAGGAUCAGUCCCUGUGGUUGAAACCUCCGGGGCCUGUGCGACUUCGUCACGGCCGCCCGAGCUGACAAAUUCCCCUGACCCACCCCGCCGCAGUGCCACCCAGAAGCUUGGCAGGUGCUGUGGCAGGGGCUGGGUCCCUGCUCGGCCCUCGGGUGCCGGGGUAUACCCUAUGAGAGCAGCACAGCCACGGACACGGCCAUCUGCAGUUCCAGGCUCCGGGCACCAUCUGGGACCCCGGUUCCUGAUGUAAGAGGCUCCCCACUGCCGUCCCAUCCUCUGCAAGGUACCUCGGAGAGCAGCUGGAGGCUAACGGGACGAGGCCUGGGUUUUAGGGUCCUGCCUGGGUUUCUGUGUGGCCUGGGGCCACUGUCUUUCCCUCUCUGGUCCCCUUUACUCUCACAUCCCAGGCUGGAUGACUGGGGCCCAGAAGCUGCUCCCCGCCUCCUCUGGGCUUCCUGGUCGCACCCCUGGCCUGACAGCCCCUGGGAAGGCCCCGCUCUCCCUCUCGGGGCCCAGCCUGGCCCCUCCUGUUGAGCUGCAGCCUCCCAGGCCUCCUUCCCACGCGCAUCGGCUCUGACUUCAGGGCUCCCCACAUGCGUUCCCCUCUAGGAAGAGCCCCCGGGGGGUCCCUGAAACCCUCUCCUCCCUGGACCACCUGUUCCUCCUGCACCUCUAUGGGGGGCCGCGUGGGGCCGCUGACCGCAGUCUCACGCACAGCCCGGGAGCGCCUGGAGGUUGCGGGGCGGCAGGCGCUCAGUCAGUCCUCGGGUCACCAUGAUGGCCUUGCUCUGUGAUCCACACUGAGGCCCAGUGGUCAGCUAGGGGGCUGGACAGGAGGCGGCCACUUCCUGGGCUGGUGGUGACUCACAGGUCUGUUUCUGGGAAAACUCCCGCCCACCCCCACUCAAUCCGGAUGGUGCAGAGCUCGGUGUGGGGACCAGCUGUGGGAAGUGCAUUGUGAUUAGG
rnacentral:lncRNA from 10 species